rnacentral:misc_RNA from 1 species
GAUGAAGAACGUAGCGAAAUGCGAUAAGUAGUGUGAAUUGCAGAAUUCAGUGAAUCAUCGAAUCUUUGAACGCACAUUGCGCCCCUUGGUAUUCCAUGGGGCAUGCCUGUUCGAGCGUCAUUUGUACCUUCAAGCUCUGCUUGGUGUUGGGUGUUUGUCUCGCCUCUGCGUGUAGACUCGCCUCAAAACAAUUGGCAGCCGGCGUAUUGAUUUCGGAGCGCAGUACAUCUCGCGCUUUGCACUCAUAACGACGACGUCCAAAAGUACAUUUUUACACUCUUGACCUCGGAUCAGGUAGGGAUACCCGCUGAACUUAAGCGUAUCAAUAAGCGGAGGA